CGCCUGACGUCAGCGGCCAGCGUGAGUCACGCGCGCAGGGAGAGCGCGAGGCGGCCUCUCCCUCCCCCCCUUUCCUCCUCCGGCCCGGCCCAGACCGGUUCCAACCUGCUGGGGCCGGUCCCGACUACCUCCAGCUGCCACCAAGCUCUGGUCGGGCCUUGGGGCGGGAAGCUCGGUCCCCGCCGCCGAGUGGGGAAGGCAGGAGCGCGGGCUGCGGAGCGCACACCCCUUAACUCAGGCCUUCGAGGCCUAACUGUUCCUCAGACUGUAAACGACAGUAGCAGGCACUCGAGGGGCGAGGAGGAGUCCAAGACCCGACCAGGAUGGGUUGCUUAGGGGCCAACCCUGGGACCACCGAUGAAUGUCGGUUAGCGUGGAGUCCACAAGGCCCGUGUGUUUCCCACGUUCACAGUUGACCUAACCUGGAGUCAGGGACCCUGAGCAGGACGGGGUCGGAGGGUGUCCUCAGGCCCAGCCGAAAUGUGCCACCGGAGGGAGAGCCCCCAAUGCUGACACUGGCCAGUAACGUGGAAAACCUCUCCCUGGGAAUCAGCUUGUGUCUCAGUGUAGGCCCCUGCCUUCCUCCUCUCCACUGCCUUUGAAGGUGCAUUAAGCAAUAGGUGCUUUGGGAGAAAGGAAGAUGGAAAGAGGCGGGUCUUCCUGUUAAGCAAAACGUUGGUUUCCAUGUUCCCAGAUGCUCUUUGCCUGUCAUCCCCAUGGGCUCCUGAGCGAUGUGCAUCCUCACACCUCGGGCUUGAGUAGCCCGUAAGGGCCACCUGGUGAAUCCAGAGCAGGGAGCGCCUGUUGGAGCAGGAAGAAGUGCAAGUAGACAGGAGGAGCUGGGGGCGCAGAAGUGAAACCCACUGGGAAGCCGUUCGGGGGAGGGGGGGCUCGGUUUCAGGACGCGCGCUGGUUCCUUUGCCAGCUGCUCUGCCCCGGGUCGGCAUCAUCGGAAGCUCUUUCCUGACUACGGUCAGACUCGCGGGGACUCACUUUCCUCACGUGGCGGUGGCUUCGCUGGUCCUUUCUUAGUGGACUUCAUUCUGCCAUCCUGCCAUUGUUUUGGUGAGGUGGUCUGGCCUUAGAGAAUACUGAUUGGUUGAGUGUUGCGGUCAGUCAACAGUGUGGGCUUGAGUGGGAAAUCUGAAAACUUGGUGUAAUUGGAACUUUAUAAACUCUGGUUGCUCGAAUCACGUUUUUCAGUAAAUGCCUGUAAUAUUUUGAGUCAUGUGGGUCUUGGUUUCAGCAGUCUCUUUCUGUGUUGUGUUGUUAGUUGAGUAUACUAAGGCCGUCUUAGGUUAAUCUGCCCUGGCUGGUGUGGCUCAGUGGAUUGAGCAGCAGCCUACAAACCAAAAAGUUGAAGGUUCAAUUCCCAGUCAGGGCAUGUGCCUGUGUUGCAGGCCAGGUCCCCAGCUGGGGGCAUGUGAGAGGCAACCAGAUGGAUGUUUCUUUCUCCCUCCCUUCUCCCCUCUCUAAAAGUAAAUAAACCUGGCUGGUGUAGCUCAGUGGAUUGAGUGAGGGCCUGUGGACCAAAAGAUCACGGUUCGAUUCCCAGUCAGGGCACAUGCCUGGGUAGCAGGCCAGUUCCCAGCAGGGGAAGUAUGAGAGGCAACCACACAUUGAUAUUUCUCUCCUCUCCUUCCCUUCCCCUCUCAAGAUAGAGAAAUAAAAUCUUUUAAAAAUUAAAAAAAAUAAAAGUAAACAAAAAAGGCUUUCUGAUCGUAAUGGAAUUGCCGGAUGAAACAAGUCAACAUCUGUGUGUAAAUAAGUGGUAAUAUCUGAGUCUUUGUUCUGAUUCUCAUUUGUCGGAACUAUCCAUUCCGUGUGGGGUAAAUGCAGAGUAAUCAGUCUUGGCUCUUGAGGUGGCUUAGUGAAUCCACAGUGAGUUUGAUUGGGUAGUUGGAGAUUUUAGGUGUUACCAUCUCUUUCUUUUGUCUGUUCAUUUGUGUGUGUGUGUUUAUGUUAAUAUCUCCAAAAGUCGGGGGUAGAAAUCAGCCGUCUUCCUUGGUAGAUUUGUGGAUAUUCGGAAGUUGUGAUGAUUGGGAAAACUUCAUUCCUUGAUGCCCCAGGCUUGAGGAGCAGGGAGGGUGAGGGCACGGAAGAUGGCCCCAGCACACUUUGUUGGCCCUGGAUUUUUUUGUUUGUUUUUAAGAUGAACCCAUUUGUUGCUUUUGGGGGUUUAGGUUAGGAUACAGUAAUAUUUUUAGAUUUAUCAUUUUUAAUUUUUAAAAAAACUUUAUUGAUUUUUUGGGGGAGAGAGACAAACAUCAAUUUGUUGUUCUGCUUGCUUAUGCCUUUAUUGGUUGCUGCUUGUACGUAUGUCCUCUGACCCAGGGAUCAAACCCAUAACAUCGGCACAUCAGGACAAUACUCUAACCAACUGAGCUCUCCGGCCAGGGCUGGAUACAGGAAUAUUUUUAUUUUUAUUUCAGUAUUUGUUACAAAAUUUCGAGCUGCUUGGCAAUUUUUCAUUCUCCCUUGCAGCAUGAAUUUCCAGGAUUUGUUCCAGUCUGGCUGUGGCUUUAGCUAUUGGGCCGGUACCCUCACUGAGUACAGACAAGGCCCCGUGGUGGUGUCCCCACAAAGCUAAGUCCUCUUUGAAUGUUUGUAUUUUCUUUUUACUAUCAAAAUUUUUUACCUUUACAAUUCUUCUAAAACAUUUGUUACAUUGAUUUUGUGUAUUUUUUGCACCUGUGUUCUGUGCCAUUAUGUGACAUGCAACCAUCAUUGCAGUGAUCUCCAGAAAGUUGAGUCCCUCAUCUUAAUGGCAGACAGUCUCAGUGAACACAGUGGAGUCCAGCAGAAGCCAGCGUUGCCUUCCCGGGUGCAGCGUUUCCCUUCUGUGUGCCUUCUUCUGUUUGUCCUUGUCCCUCAGUGGAAGUCCUGGAGUCUGAGCUCAUUUUCUGGGUUAAGGGGAUUAUUUAUAACAGUUUGAAGGAUAAUUAUUUUGUUGGUAUUUUUCUAAAUCUCCUAAAUAAUCUCCAUUUAAGAGAAACUUUAAUCCUUUCAGCAGGCACUUGUGCUAGACCUGAGGAAUUCUACCCUUUUAGAAAAUAGGUAUAUUAGAAUUUCCUCUGUUGAACGGCUCUAAGUAUGUGACCAGCGCUCUAAAAUGGUAAUACGCGUAUAUUAGUGCUCAUCCAAUAUAGGAAACACAGGACCUCUGGCUAGGUGAUUUGUCUUUUUAUUUCACAAGGACUGCAUUUUACCCAGGUUUACUUAGAACAAGACCAUCUUGUUUAUUAGAAGAGUUUCAGCCCUGGCCAGGGAGCUCAGUUGGUUGGAGCGUUGUCCUGAUACACCAAGGUUGUGAGUUCAAUGCCCUGUCAGGGCACAUGCAAGACUGGAGCAAUGAAUGCACAGGUGAGUGGAACAAUUAGGUUUCUCGCUCUUUCUCCCCUUCCCUUCUCUCUAAAAUAAAAUAAAUGAAUAAAAUAAGUUUUAUAAAAGUAGAUUAUCAGAAUGAGAAAUUUUACAUUCUCAUAGAGCAAUUACAUUCUGAAAUAUACAGAUUUAGCCAACUUUGGGCUUAUUACUGUGUAACAGUUGUAUCAUUAUCUUGACCUUAUAAAAAACCUCAGGGACAUUAAAUCAUGUUUGGAUUCCUUCACCUGCAGUUGAUUCUCAAAGUUCUUAAUACCUUGUGUUAAAGGAAAAUGAAUUUCUAGUUCCAGGAAGGUUUCUUGGUCACUGGGUGAUUUCUUAUAGGCGGACAGAGGAUAGAUAAGUACUUUAAAGAUUUCCUUUCCCCAAGUGUCCUUUUUAAUUAAGGACUUUUUCCUGGGAUUUUUAAACAGGGAUAAUGUAGCAGUAUGUCCUUAGAUAACUAUUUUGAGGCAGAUUUGUUAGUUUGCAUGUUAUAGAAGCAUCAUGAACUUCACUUGAUUGCAUCUGGUUGUGUUUUGGGAAAUCCAGGACAUGAACAUGUAGUAAAGACAUUAUUGCAGAUGCAGUAAGAUUGCACAUACAUUACUAGAGGGCAGCUUGUUGCACAACUGAAGUUACUGGAAGCGUUGCCUAGCAACCUCAGCAAGAAUGAGUUAAACUACCAAUAAAUAUUUCUGGAUCUUGUUUACUUAUUUGUCAAGUAGAACUCUUCCCUCCCUCCCUCCCUCUCUUCUCAUCUUUUCUCUUUUCUUUCUUAAUUGAUUUUAGAGAGGAAGGGGGAGAGAGAGAGAGAAAACAUCCAUUUGUUGUUCCACUUACUUGUGCAUUCACUGGUUGAUUCUUGUAUGUGCUCUGACCAGGAUGGAACCCGCAACCUUGGAGUAUUGGGAUGAUGUUCCAACCAACUGAGCUACCUGGCCAGGGCUGGAACUAGUUUCUUACAGAACCAAAAUUAAGAGCUCAUUAUGGCCUUCAAUCAAACCUACAGAAUUCCCGUUUAUAAGUUUUAAGUGCUCAUCUUAAGGGUAGAGUUAAGCUUAACAUCUAGUUGAUAUUUGUUAUAAUCUAAAUUAAUGAUUAAAGUGAAGAUUUGCUUAAUGGUUAAGUUUUUUUGUUUUAAUCCAGCCGUGUUAGACACUAAAGAAGGCUUCCCCACAGCCCAUAUGCAUCUGCUUUCACUGGUGCUUUCUGUCAUCCUACAAAGACUGACUUAUGGUGAGGGCAGCGGACAACUCUGAGAGCAACUCAGAGCAACCCACUUGGGCGUGCUCUGUAGAGGCGCUCCUCCUCUGGAAGGGGCACCUCAGAUCAGUGCACAAAAGCAAGAUGCCCUCUCGGACCUACCUCCUCCCGCUCUCAAUGCCCUGCUGCCUGAAGUGUGUAGCAUUUGACAGCAGUAUCGAGAGCUGAGGAGGAGGAGAAGAUGGAAAGGAGUCUAGCGACUUAAAAUCUCAUAGCGUUCUCUGUGAGUGACUUGUUUUAUGGUGGUGUAAUUAUGGCCUGUCAGAAACUCCCUGAUGCAUUUCACGCAGCAUCCAGACUCGUGCACGCUUAUUUGCUGCUGCCCUUGUUUUCCCUUUAUCUCAGUUAAGAGAAACGAAGUCGACAGUCAGCAUGACGUUUAAGAAGGCUGACUCCGAGGCCAGCUGUGUGCGUUUGAAGCCCAGUUCUGCCCUUUAUUUGCUGUGGGACCUUGGGCAAGUGACCUUCCUCUCUGGGUUUCAGUCUCCAGAGGGUAGCAGCAGUGCCUGUGCAGUCAUUGUGAGGAUUGCGUGAGUUCACAUGUAUAAAGUGCUUGAAACAGUGCCCGGCUCUUAGCACGGUGUACGAUACUAUGCUAAUGAGUGGGAACUGGGCCCAAGUCACUGCUUCUGGUUGCAUUACUCUUUCCCUCAGUGGCCCUAAUCAAAACACCUUCCUGGGCUGUCUCCCCACUAGAGAGGGUCUUCAUUUCCUAGGGCACACAUGGGUUGGUGUCGUCCUCAGAGCACACUCCCCUCUUCUGCAUCCACUUGAACUUCAGUCGUCAUCCUUCGUACAGCCUCCAUCAGACUGCCUGUAUCUUACAUGAAGGAUUUGUGCUGUGAAUGGAUCCACCCUCCCAGGGCCAAAGACUUGGUUGUACAGAAAACAGUGUACAAAGCAACACUGAUUUACACGUAACACGGAAAUGCUCAUCGGAUCGGAGGUUUUUCAGACCAUCUGUGUUUGGAAAAGCUACAUCAAGUAGAGGUGCUCCCUGAUUUAGGGAGCGGGAGUCAGGGCUCUCAGUGCUCCCCGCACGUCCUCCCAGAGAGAAUGUUCUAAACCAGGACCACUUCGGAAGACUUGGAUGCCAGCUCUCUAUAGCUGCAUAGCGCUUUAUCAGAAUUGUCCAGAUACUUGCCAAGCACCAAUUUUAGCUUUAUUUGGCCUUGUUUUUUUUAAAUCACUUUUUGGCAACUUCCACUGAUGUGGUUAUCGUUACAAAAUUGUAUGGUUUCUGAAUUAUGUUUGAUAUCAAAACAGAAUGUGUAUGUCUUAUAAAAACAGCAUAGAACCGCUAGUAAUUUACCUAAAGCUCUUUAGAAAAGAGGAAAGAUUUUCAAUAAAUUGUAAGAUAUGUGUAUAUUUUUAUAUGUACAUAUAUAUAUCACACUUAAAUAAGUAGUUUAGUAUUCUUAAUCUGCUUAUCUGCCCUUGUAAGUUAGGAGUAUUUUAUUCUCAAACUUGAAAACAAAGAGUCUGAUAAGCCACAGUGUGUGAGCGCUCCAGCCACAUUUCUCUUCAGGGGUGGGUGUGGGCAUAGCAGCCAGUAGGGCUGCUGUGAGUGUGGAAGACAGUAGUUUGCAGAUCAGCACUGUCCGAACCCUUGGCUACCACAACAGACAGUCACGAAGCUUAGGCAGAUGGGAGGUGUUGAAAGCCACAGUCACUCAUUGCAUUGUUCAUCAGCAGGCUCUCUGCGGAGUGUCUCUGACUCUUGUCGUGUGUUGUGAGCUGUGUGUUGUGAGCUGUUGGGCUCGGUGCCAAAUGGCACUGCCUCUUGCAGACUUGCCCGCCGUCAGUUCCGUGAAUGGUCAGAACUAGAAGCAGAAUUGUUCUGCCGUCUCUGCUGCACAGCAGUGCAAUGGCCGAGCAGUGGGAAGGUUUCCCUGUGAUUUUUUUCAGUUCAGGGCUGAGAUUAAAAUCUUUUUGGGUGCGAAGAAUCAUUUUCAACUACCAUUAUUGAACAAUGAAUGGCUUUGGAAAUUAGCUUUUCCUGCAGACUUCAUAAUGUUUCUUAGGGAAUUCACCCUAAAAUUUCAAGGCAAGUCAUUAUUUAUGUGCAAACCCUACAUUGCAGUAAACUCAUUUCGACAACUCACGUUCGAUCUGUGAGUCGUCAAGCUGCGUGAUACACUGCGCUGUCAAAAGUUAAAGGCGAGACCUCCGUUUGUACACAGGUUUAUCGUGGACGUGAUUUCCGAACACAAACGACAGUUCUCACAGCAAUGCUGCAUCUUGAUCCGAAUACAAAGGAAAUUCUCUAUUCCAGAGUCCAUUUACCUGUGCACCUAAGCAGUUUACACCAGGCCUUCAACCGGACGUGACUUGAAUGCAAAUAUCAAGACAAUUAAAGUCUUAUAAAUAUCUUCUAAGAGAUGAAUAUGCUCAACUAAAAUCAUGUUUGUGGAAUAACAGUAUUUUUUUUAAACAAAUUUUUCUAUUUAGGAAUAACAGUAUUUAUUGGCAGUACCUACUUAUGUGAAGAGACAUUUUCAAAGAUGAAAUACAUAAAAUUCUAUUAUAACAGAUGAACAUUUGUAAUUUUGAUGAAAGGGACCUAGCAAAUGUUAUCCCUCCCAACUCCGUUCUUCUUAGUAGGCCUGUAUUACAAAGUUGUGGCCAAUUACUAUUAUAUUUUGAAUUUAUCAAUAAAAUACAUAUGGAAAUUUGCUCUCUCUCUUGUUAUAUAAGUACCUGCAUAAUACCCUCAAUUUGGUGUCUUGACACCCUCUAAGUCUAAAAUAUUUACUAUCUGGUCCUUUACAGCAGAAGUUUGCCGAGCCAAUCCAGAGCCUGUUUUGUUGGGGAGGGAGCCGGGCAGUGAGGCCGUGCCGAGCACUGUCGCAAAGGUAGUGGGGGCUGGAUCCAGGUCAUUGCGUCAGUCCUCACGUGGUUUUUCUGUCAGGCAUGUCUGAUACUUAGGCGGUUUACUCAAGUUCUCAUACACUUCCCUAGGAGAGGGCAAGUGAAAUACCCCAACUGGUGAAUCUGGGGAAUGGGCUUUAAAGUGUAGCUGGAAAUUGAACUUGUAGCAGUUGAGCGCUUGAUUUAACACCUCUUUAAGAGGGAUACAACUUUCUGAAUUCAUUACUACUUUCUUCUGUGUUGUCAUGUUGAUUUAGGGGGCGAGUGAUUUAAUUAGGUUUCAAGUAGCCUGGCUUUGGCUGUUGUUUAGAAUUUCAGAAGAUAAAGAGAAUCCAGUAAAUGUUGAAAGUAUUAUUUGAUUUUUCUAAAAAGAACUAGUUGCCCAUAUUUUAUUUUUAAAGUUUUUAGAGAAAAGUAUGAGACGUUCUGUAAACCAAUAUAGCAAGCACUAGGGUACAUUAUGAUGCUACCUGUAUAAAAAUAUAUA